rnacentral:rRNA from 1 species
UGGCUUCGGCCGAUGAGUAAAGUGGCGCACGGGUGAGUAACGCGUGGAUAAUCUGCCCUUAAGUUUGGAAUAACGUACCGAAAGGUGCGCUAAUACCGGAUAAUACUGAAUGACUACUGUUAUUUAGUCAAAGAAGGCUUCUGUUUACAUGCUUUUGCUGAAGGAUGAGUCCGCGUACCAUUAGCUAGUUGGUAGGGUAAUGGCCUACCAAGGCGACGAUGGUUAGCUGGUCUGAGAGGAUGAUCAGCCACACUGGAACUGAGACACGGUCCAGACUCCUACGGGAGGCAGCAGUGAGGAAUAUUGCGCAAUGGGGGAAAGCCUGACGCAGCAACGCCGCGUGAGUGAGGAAGGUUUUCGGACCGUAAAGCUCUGUCGAGCGGGAGGAAAUGCAUGUUGGCUAAUAUCCAUCAUGCUUGACGGGUACCGCUAAAGGAAGCACCGGCUAACUCCGUGCCAGCAGCCGCGGUAAUACGGGGGUUGCGAGCGUUGUUCGGAAUUAUUGGGCGUAAGGAGCGUGUAGGCGGCUGAAUAAGUCAGAUGUGAAAUCCCUGGGCUUAACCCAGGACGUGCAUUUGAAACUAUUCGGCUAGAGUAGGGGAGAGGAAAGUGGAAUUCCUGGUGUAGAGGUGAAAUUCGUAGAUAUCAGGAGGAACACCGGUGGCGAAGGCGACUUUCUGGCCCUAUACUGACGCUGAGACGCGAGAGCGUGGGUAGCAAACAGGAUUAGAUACCCUGGUAGUCCACGCUGUAAACGAUGUUCACUAGGUGUUGGGGGUAUUGACCCUCUCAGUGCCGC